GAUGAACGCUGGCGGCGUGCCUAACACAUGCAAGUCGAACGGAGAUUACGGACGGUAGUUUGCGGAUGGAAGACUGUACUUCUUAGUGGCGGACGGGUGAGUAACCCGUGGGCAACCUGUACUAUACAGGGGGAUAGCAGCUGGAAACGGCUGGUAAGACCGCAUAAGUCGGCGGGAGCGCAUGGUUUUGCGGGGGAGUGGGCAUUCAGGUAUAGGAUGGGCCCGCGUCGGUUUAGCCAGUUGGCAGUGUAGAAGCAUACCAAAGCAACGAGCGUGAGCCGGACGGAGAGGUCGCACGGCCACAUUGGGAAUGAGACACGGACCAAUCUCCUACGGGAGGCAGCAGUGGGUGAUAUUGCACAAUGGAGGCAAAUCUGAUGCAGCGGCGCCGCGUGAGUGAAGAAGUAUGUCGGUAUGUAAAGCUCUAUCAGCAGGGAAGAUGAUGACGGUACCUGAUUAAGAAGCCCCGGCUAACUACGUG
rnacentral:rRNA from 1 species